rnacentral:rRNA from 1 species
UGAGGAAUAUUGGUCAAUGGGCGUAAGCCUGAACCAGCCAAGUAGCGUGAGGGAAGACUGCCCUAUGGGUUGUAAACCUCUUUUGUGCGGGGAUAAAGUGAGGGACGUGUCCCUUAUUGCAGGUACCGCACGAAUAAGGACCGGCUAAUUCCGUGCCAGCAGCCGCGGUAAUACGGAAGGUCCGGGCGUUAUCCGGAUUUAUUGGGUUUAAAGGGAGCGCAGGCCGUCCUUUAAGCGUGCUGUGAAAUGCCGCGGCUCAACCGUGGCACUGCAGCGCGAACUGGAGGACUUGAGUACGCACGAGGUAGGCGGAAUUCGUGGUGUAGCGGUGAAAUGCUUAGAUAUCACGAAGAACUCCGAUUGCGAAGGCAGCUUACCGGAGCGCAACUGACGCUGAGGCUCGAAAGCGCGGGUAUCGAACAGGAUUAGAUACCCUGGUAGUCCGCGCGGUAAAUGAUGGAUGCCCGCCGUUGGGAUUUGGAUUUCAGCGGCCAAGCGAAAGCGUUAAGCAUCCCACCUGGGGAGUACGCCGGCAACGGUGAAACUCAAAGGAAUUGACGGGGGCCCGCACAAGCGGAGGAACAUGUGGUUUAAUUCGAUGAUACGCGAGGAACCUUACCCGGGCUUGAAUUGCAGGAGAACGAUCCAGAGAUGGUGAGGCCCUUCGGGGCUCCUGUGAAGGUGCUGCAUGGUUGUCGUCAGCUCGUGCCGUGAGGUGUCGGCUCAAGUGCCAUAACGAGCGCAACCCCUGUCCAUAGUUGCCAUCAGGUCGUGCUGGGCACUCUGUGGAGACUGCCGCCGUAAGGUGUGAGGAAGGUGGGGAUGACGUCAAAUCAGCACGGCCCUUACGUCCGGGGCUACACACGUGUUACAAUGGGGCAUACAGCGAGUUGGAUGUGCGCAAGUACGUCCGGAUCAAUAAAGUGCCUCUCAGUUCGGACUGGGGUCUGCAACCCGACCCCACGAAGCUGGAUUCGCUAGUAAUCGCGCAUCAGCCAUGGCGCGGUGAAUACGUUCCC